rnacentral:rRNA from 1 species
AGUGAACGCUGACGGUAGGCCUAACACAUGCAAGUCGAACGGCAGCACAGUAAGAGCUUGCUCUUACGGGUGGCGAGUGGCGGACGGGUGAGGAAUACAUCGGAAUCUACUUUUUCGUGGGGGAUAACGUAGGGAAACUUACACUAAUACCGCAUACGACCUACGGGUGAAAGCAGGGGAUCUUCGGACCUUGCGCGAUUGAAUGAGCCGAUGUCGGAUUAGCUAGUUGGCGGGGUAAAGGCCCACCAAGGCGACGAUCCGUAGCUGGUCUGAGAGGAUGAUCAGCCACACUGGAACUGAGACACGGUCCAGACUCCUACGGGAGGCAGCAGUGGGGAAUAUUGGACAAUGGGCGCAAGCCUGAUCCAGCUAUACCGCGUGGGUGAAGAAGGCCUUCGGGUUGUAAAGCCCUUUUGUUGGGAAAGAAAAGCAGCAGGUUAAUACCCCGCUGUUCUGACGGUACCCAAAGAAUAAGCACCGGCUAACUUCGUG